rnacentral:misc_RNA from 1 species
GAUGAAGAACGUAGCGAAAUGCGAUAAGUAAUGCGAAUUGCAGAAUCCGUGAGUCAUCGAAUCUUUGAACGCACAUUGCGCCCGCCAGCACUCUGGCGGGCAUGCCUGUCCGAGCGUCAUUUCAACCCUCAGGGCCCCUUCGGGGGACCUGGCGUUGGGGAUCGGCCCGCCCCCGUGCGGCGCCGUCCCCGAAAUAUAGUGGCGGUCUCGCUGCAGCCUCCCCUGCGUAGUAGCACACCUCGCACUGGAGAGCGGCGCGGCCACGCCGUGAAACCCCCAACUUCUGAAUGUUGACCUCGGAUCAGGUAGGAAUACCCGCUGAACUUAAGCAUAUCAAUAAGCGGAGGA